ACGUACCUACCGAAUGUAUUAUUGUAUAAAAUGGAUGAAUAUUAUAAUAAUAUUGAAGUGUAUUAAAAUGAAAUUUUAAAUUCAUUUUGGUAGUUGUGUAAUUUGAAUAUAUUGAAGUACAUAAGUUAUUAUAUAUUGAAUAAUCAAAUGAGCAGAUCUUGGUGGUAGUAACAUAAUAAUUUGUAUUUAUAGAGAUUAGGGUUGUCAUUAUGAUGACGUGAGACGGUGUUAUAAUAAAACGAAUAAUAUUAAUAUUUUAUUAUCUUAUUUAUUAAGUGGUGACACAAACAUGGACUAUUAUUUUCUAAAAUUAUAAUAUAAAUGAGUUAUAAUUUUUAUAAUAUGAUGUGAUAGUUGUUAUAAGAUCAUCAUUUUAAUAAUAAUAUGUUAAAAAAGAAAUAAAUAAACCGUACCUAUACCGCAUCAGGUGUCUCUGUUUUAUAACAAAUAUAUUUUAAAAUAAUCUAAGUAAGGGAAUUCGGCAAAAUAGAUCUGUAACUUUGGGAUAAAGAUUGGCUCUAGCAUGCUAGAACUUUUUAUAUUAUGAGAGGAAUCUGACUGUUUAAUAAAAACAUAGCUUUAUGAUAAUGUGAAGUGAAUUCUGCCCAGUGUAUUUAUUAGUUAAAAUAAAAUAAGCAUAUAUAAACGGCGGGAGUAACUAUGACUCUCUUAAGGUAGCCAAAUGCCUCGUCAUUUAAUUGGUGACGCGCAUGAAUGGAGCAACGAGAUUCCUACUGUCCCUAUUUAGAGCUAUGUGAAGCAACGAGACAAGGGAACGGGCUUGUUAUUUAAUCAGCGGGGAAAGAAGACCCUGUUGAGCUUUACUCUAGUAUAUUUUAAUUUAUAUAUAUUAUAUUGUAGAGAGGUGGGAGAUGUAAUGUGAAACCACUAAUAUUAAUAUUAUAUAAAUUUAUUUUUAAUUAUAUGGGGAGUUUGGCUGGGGCGGUACAACUGUUAUAAAGAAACACAGUUGUCCUAAGAUACAAUUAAUUAGGAUAGAAACCUAAUGUUUAAUAUAAGGGUAUAAGUGUGUCUGAUGUAUAAAACAAUAGUUUUAUAUGAUGGGAAACCAUGGCCUAAAGAUCCUCCAAUAAUAAUUUUAUUUGAUUGGAGGUGACAGAAAAGUUACCACAGGGAUAACUGGCUUGUAGCAAAUGAGCGAUCAUAGCGACUUUGCUUUUUGAUUCUUCGAUGUCGUCUCUUCUGAUCAUCGUAGUGUAUAUGUUACGAAGUGUUGGAUUGUUCACCCGUUAAUGAGGAACGUGAGAUGGGUUUAGACCGUCGUGAGACAGGUUAGUUUUACCCUACUGUUAAUAUUAUUAAGAAAAGUUAUAUAGUACGAGAGGAACAAUAAGUGAUGACCACUGGUGUAGCGAUUAAUUAUUCAAUUAUGUUGCAAAACUACGUCAUGAAUAAUAAAUGCUGAAAGCCUCUUAAGCAUGAAGUUAAUCUUAAUGAUAAACAAUUGAGGAAAACUACCUCUUUGAAGAGUGGGACUGUAAGAAUGAAGGUGUAUACCGACAUUUUGAGGUUACCAUUUCGUUCUAUGUAAAAAUA
rnacentral:rRNA from 1 species